CCCCUCUCAGGGUCGCACCUGGAGAGUGCCCAGUACUCUACCAGUCUCGACUACGGAGGGAGAGUCAAGCAGAGGCAUAUUCAUUCCGUUUCUAACUAGGGCAGUGGCUAGCGAGUGGAAGGCAAUCUGCUACAAAU